AUUUGAAGCUAAACUAUUAGUCGAAAGUAAAAUUAGAAAACCAAACAACAAAUAUAAGUCUUAUUCCACCCAUUAAUCCUAUCAUACCCUCCAAACUGUUAUCAAAUUAGGUUCACAGCAAUAGGUAAAUUUUCUGCAUUCAUCGCUACCUCUCCAUUCUCAAUUGUUCGAAGACGAAACUCAAAUAUUCUGCCAUAGCCUUAAAUCGCCAGAAAAUUAUCCUUCUCUAUUGACGGUCGUAGGCUUAUAUCCAGCAGCUACUUUUCACUCCCAGACCCGAUUGAUUCUCUCUCACACUUCAUUCUGGAAAUGGAGGAAGAGGAUGAUUAUGAGGAAUACAUUCCAGUGGCCAAACGUAGAGCAAUGGAAGCACAGAAGAUUCUUCAGCGGAAAGGAAAAUCCUCGGCAUUUGAAGAUGAAACUGAGAAGUCAAAACUUGCUGAAGCAAAACCCAGUUUGCUUGUCAAGGCCACUCAGCUUAAGCGUGACCAGCCGGAGAUUAGUCCCACCGAACAAAUUGUGCAACAGGAGAAGGAAAUGAUCGAACACUUGUCAGAUCGGAAGACAUUGAUGUCUGUCCGUGAACUUGCGAAAGGGAUAACUUAUAAAGAGCCAUUGUUGACAGGAUGGAAGCCACCUUUGAGAAUUAGAAGGAUGUCGACGAAAGAUUGUGAUUCCAUUCGAAAGCAAUGGCAUAUUAUCGUUGAUGGUGAAGAUAUCCCCCCACCGAUCAAAAAUUUUAAGGAAAUGAGGUUUCCGGAUCCAAUUUUGAGCAAGUUGAAAGCGAAGGGAAUUGUACAACCAACACCUAUUCAAGUGCAGGGACUUCCUGUUAUCUUGUCAGGAAGGGAUAUGAUAGGGAUUGCAUUUACAGGUUCUGGUAAAACAUUGGUUUUUGUGCUGCCGUUGAUCAUGGUGGCAUUGCAAGAAGAGUUGAUGAUGCCGAUUGUUCCCGGGGAAGGGCCAUUUGGAUUGAUAAUUUGCCCAUCUAGGGAGCUUGCUAGGCAGACUUAUGAGGUUGUGGAGGAAUUUUUAAUUCCAAUGAAGGAGUAUGGCUUUCCGGAAUUGAGACCAUUGCUUUGCAUUGGUGGGGUUGAUAUGCGGUCACAAUUGGAGAUUGUGAAGAAAGGUGUGCAUAUCGUUGUUGCCACCCCUGGAAGGUUGAAGGACAUGCUUGCGAAGAAGAAGAUGAGCCUUGACAAUUGCAGGUAUUUAACGCUAGAUGAGGCAGAUAGAUUGGUGGACCUGGGUUUUGAAGAUGACAUAAGAGAAGUGUUUGAUCACUUCAAAGCUCAAAGACAGACCCUUUUAUUUUCUGCCACCAUGCCCACAAAGAUUCAAAAUUUUGCUAGAAGUGCUCUAGUUAAACCUGUUACAGUUAACGUGGGAAGGGCUGGAGCAGCAAAUCUCGAUGUGAUUCAAGAGGUGGAAUAUGUGAAGCAAGAAGCAAAGAUUGUUUACCUUCUUGAAUGCUUGCAAAAGACCCCUCCUCCAGUUUUGAUAUUCUGUGAGAACAAAGCUGAUGUGGAUGAUAUUCAUGAAUAUCUUCUUUUGAAAGGAGUUGAAGCAGUUGCAAUUCAUGGAGGCAAGGAUCAAGAGGAGAGAGAAUAUGCCAUUUCGUCCUUCAAAGCAGGCAAGAAAGAUGUCUUGGUUGCGACAGAUGUCGCCUCAAAGGGUUUGGAUUUUCCAGACAUUCAGCAUGUUAUCAAUUAUGAUAUGCCUGCUGAAAUUGAGAAUUAUGUCCAUAGGAUUGGACGAACAGGAAGAUGUGGCAAGACAGGAAUAGCUACAACGUUCAUUAACAAGAAUCAAAGUGAGACGACACUUCUUGACUUGAAGCACUUGUUGCAAGAAGCAAAGCAGAGAAUACCACCAGUUUUGGCCGAGCUUAAUGAUCCCAUGGAAGAUGUUGAUGCAAUCACCAAUGCUAGUGGAGUUAAAGGCUGUGGCUACUGUGGUGGACUUGGGCACAGGAUCCGUGAUUGCCCGAAGUUAGAGCAUCAGAAAAGCCAGGCAAUUGCUAGCUCUAGGAGGGAUUAUUUUGGAUCAGGAGGUUAUAGAGGGGAAAUGUGAUAUGUGCUUCAAUGCUUUCACGCCAUUACCAGUCUGUUUCUUCCUCAACAGUUCUCAAUCUGUCAUUUAGCCUGUCGACUUCACAACCAUACAUCAGCGCCUUAUCCUUACAAAGCUUACCUCCAGAGCGAUUCAUGGAUGAUAUUUCCGACACAGGAUUUGAACUUGAAGCCACUAUCGAGUCUGAUGACGACUGUUCUUUAUUGCUCAACACGUCCUCGUUUCUACUUGUGCAUACAUAGAAUGGGAAAAGAGUUAAAAUGGUUGGCAAGACAUGAUGGUGUGAAAGUGAAUGAUGUUUGCUUAAUUGGCAGAGUUGCAGAGCUCAAUGACACAAAAGAUCGUUUCUUUUCUUCUCUUGUAAGGGAGAGAGAGAGAGAGAGAUUGGUGGUUAAUGGGAAAGUUCUGAGGACUUGUCGGUACUCUAAGUUUGUCUUUGUGCACUGCCAUUAGUAGGCAACUGCAGCGCUAAUUUAGCGUUGUUAGGGAGAGAGGGGGAGAGAGAGAGAGAGAGAGCUUUGGCUGCAUUUAAGCAGAGCUGCAGAGUUGUGGACUCAUUUGAGAAGGAUAACCGCCUUUGCCUAUGGCUAAGUUUGGAUGAUACAAAUUUUUAGAGGAAUGGGAAUGUGAUUAUGAGUUUUCAUGAUUCUAGGAAAGUGUGAUUUUUGAUUAUUUA